CUCAGCAUCAUGCACUCCACAUACGAGUCUAGAGUUAAACACUCUAAGUUCGUCUGGGGGAGCGUCAUCAUCUGCUUUGUUCAGUAGCGCAAAUCCCACUGCCAGGCCUCCUGCCUCAGCAUCAUGCACUCCACAUACGAGUCUUGACUUAAGCACUCCAAGUCCUUCUGGGGGAGCAUCAUCUUCUGGUACAUGUGGUACGCCAUUGUCUUCGGCUGCACCGACACCUGCAGUUAC